CAGUCUGUUUUGAAUUUGUUUUACUGAAAAAACAAACACACAACGCAUAUUGUGUUGCGCCUGCGCAGUGACGUUCUUUUCCAACCGCCUUUCCAGUCAAGAGGUCAAGAAUGUUCCUGUCUGCAUCAGGAGCAUUUUUUUUUCUUUUUGAUGGGCCAUCACACAGUGGAUUUAUAAAAAUGAGAUUACAGAACAUCAGACGGUAGCUUCAACAGAGUUGAAGUGGGAGGACAUCAUCAAUAAAGAAUGCCAUUGACCAAACCUUCAGUCAUCAAAGAAGAUGGAUACAGGGGGACAUCAAGUUUUCCAGACUUACCGAUGGGAAAGAAGAAAUGGGAAUGUGACAAUUAUUGAGAAACUCAGUGGAAAAGCAUCUUUAGAGAAGAAAAUGGACAUCAGACAUUUAUUGAAGAAAGCUGACAGUCAACAUAAUGAUGAGAGCUGUGUUAUACAAUGUUAAGGAUACUCGUUCAUCUUCUGCUGUGUGAAUUCUGCUGUGUCAGUCCUGUGGGACUUGAUGCCGGCUGGUACCAGUGUAACGUCUUUGCUUACUAAAUGAUCAAAGGGUGUCUGAAAUCAGCUCAGCCACAGUUGGUUUCCAACGGUUCUCCAGGACAUGGAGGCCACUACGUAACUGUUGCAAUGAACGAUUCUUUUGCCUUUCCACCUGAUGUUGACAAUCUGACCUGUGCGGUACUGAAAACAACUUGCACUGACAUAUCUUAAAAUAUAUCAGUGCCCUAUGUUUUGCCUCAAAAUGCACACCAGUAAUGUUUUUUUGUUGAAACCAGUUAUAUUUCCUAAUUAAACUAAGGCCUAGUCCUGGAUAAACUAAUCCCCUGUCCGGGAAACCGCCCCUAAAUGUUUUGUGACGGAAAUUUCUUUGAAUACACUU